AUUGAACGCUGGCGGCAUGCCUUACACAUGCAAGUCGAACGGUAACGCGGGGCAACCUGGCGACGAGUGGCGAACGGGUGAGUAAUGCAUCGGAACGUGCCCAGAAGUGGGGGAUAGCCCGGCGAAAGCCGGAUUAAUACCGCAUGAGACCUGAGGGUGAAGGCGGGGGAUCGCAAGACCUCGCGCUUUUGGAGCGGCCGAUGUCAGAUUAGCUAGUUGGUGGGGUAAAGGCCUACCAAGGCGACGAUCUGUAGCUGGUCUGAGAGGACGACCAGCCACACUGGGACUGAGACACGGCCCAGACUCCUACGGGAGGCAGCAGUGGGGAAUUUUGGACAAUGGGCGCAAGCCUGAUCCAGCCAUGCCGCGUGCGGGAAGAAGGCCUUCGGGUUGUAAACCGCUUUUGUCAGGGAAGAAACGCUCUGGGCUAAUACCCUGGGGUAAUGACGGUACCUGAAGAAUAAGCACCGGCUAACUACGUG
rnacentral:rRNA from 1 species